GAGCGACGAAAAGAAACAAACAAUUUUGUUCGAAAGAAGCUGACGAAUUCGAACGAAGCAAGUGGGAAGCAAUGUAACCACACCAAUACAAUUCUAUGUAGCUGUUUACUUCUCACGAUUCUAUGCGUUUCUUGCAGCCUCGAUUGUAUGCGUUUCCUCAGCCUCAGCCUCACCGUGGCCUUAGGCCGCGGUGACACUGCUUGCCCCUUCACUGGAGACAAACAUUAGUAAAUGAAGCUACCAAAUCUUUAGUAGUUGAAACAUUGGUAAAAUGCACAAAUUUUUUGUACAUAUUACCAAAAUCCGGUAAAACUGAUGUCAGAUGUAAUGUACAUCCCUACCAGAGAUUCGUACAUUUUACUUCAUGCCAUUUGUAACCUUCAAUGUUUUCAUUCCUACACUGAGAGAAAUAAUUAGUAAAUAUAACGAUUUUUUUGGUAAAUACUACCAAUCUAUAGUCAUUUUCGACCGUACUAAUAAACACAUAUGUCAAGCAGAACCAUGAUUCGGAAGCCCAAUAUCGGCUACAUUUUCUCGCCGAAAAUGCACGUAUCAGAAUUAUAUCCUUAUUAUACCUCCGUAUUGCCUUAUGGGAACAAUGAAAAUGGUUAAUACGCGCUUUUCUCACCAGUUUUCAGAUAUGACAAUAUCCAAGCUUACUAAUGUUAUCGAGUAAAAUAUACUAAUCUCUGGUAGGGAUGCGGGUUUGUUGACAAUAUGUACAAAACAUUUGUACAUUCUACUAAUUUUGUAUUACCAAAUGUAUUUAGUAGUUUUCGACCGAGGAUUUUUCUAAGGGUAGCGACUGUGAAGUGCGCACUUCGUAAUCGCCAUUUUUUUGUGGAAGCGAAACAAUUCGGAGAUAUUCCGAAAUAUACUCAUUUUGGACGACGUUUCUUCUAUUCUACUACUGAUAGAAGCAUUUCCAUUUGCGAUCAAUCGUAAACGAACAUUUUACAACAGCCAUGAUUCGAUGCUAAUAUUUGGCGAUACAAACUAGGGAAAGGAAGAACCAAUAACGAUUCACCAUCGGUCCGUGCAAACGGUAUCAAAUGAGCGUAUCUUUUCGUCGACCAACGGCAGCGACCAGCGAAUCAACAAGUGCAGCUGAUUCCAGCACGAAUAGCUCUUCUGUUUCUUCACUGGAGCAUCGAAAAUCCCUAUCAGGCUCAGGUGCAGGCAAGAAUCAAUGAAGGAGGAGCAAGCUACGCUACCGCAAGUAUAGUCAUUUGCUCAUAAAAUUUACAAGAUGUAUCGAAACUCUCUAGGAAAAGUGUCGUCAUUCGUUUUUUCUACAAACUGAUAACCUCUGCGUGAUAAUGAUUUGUCAGGAAGAUCCAAUCAACUGCUUUUCUCAACCGGAGGAUGACAUGGAACAUGAAGAACGUCAGAACCGACUACGUGCUCUGUGCAAUCAUCAGGAUCUGUUCCAGGAGGAGAGUGUUGAAUUUGAUACUGGAAAGCAUCGACAAAAUCAAUGUCAUAUCGUCACUAGGUUUCAUGAUUUCCUCCUGGCUAGUGAUGAAAAAGUUGGGAGUCGAUAUCCGGAUAUCUGUUCCAACUACUAGCGGUUGUCAUCAAGGAAAACUCAGUUUGCUAACUCAAAUCAUUUUAAUUGGCUCAUCCCCCAUCUUGGAACGCAAGCAUCUAGUAAGGACUCCGGAUCGAUUUGUAAAUAUCUCGCCUCUCGAGAACCAUAAUCGUGCUCCGAUGAUUUUGUAUGUGUUGUGUUCACUGUGCGUUGGUAAUGGUCGGUAUGGUUGGUUGGUCGGUAAUCCUAAUAUCCUCGUUCAUCGUGUUGAGGAAUCUGGGGUGUACCAGAAGUGUUACUUUGAAAUUACUAUGGACCAUAACGGACAAACGUGCACAAACUUGACACCGCGUUUGCGAAUUAAUUGGGCCAAUACUGCUGAAUAUGUUGAGGAUGUAAAAAUGGGGCGAAAAUGACGUUGGUAAUAAUUUGCAUACUCAUGAUUCCGGACGUGACAAAACUAUUCAUCGCAAAAGGAAUGGAAUUGCACGCUAGAUCUCAGCGUCUCGGUGAUACGGUUUAUGUUCAAUGGAGAGCCAAUGCAUGUUUGAUUUUAAUCUAACUUGAAUGUUUUUUUUUUUCCGGUGAUGAGCUGCUCGUCGAAGCUAAGUUGUCAAUUUUAUUUUGGUUUCCGCGUUUCUGUCUGCGAUAUUGAACCCUAAGAUGGAAGAAUUCGGCGAUCUGCUGGUCGAGAGCACUCACAACUUGUGAGACAAAGAGCGAAUUCAACAAAGUUAAACAAAGACAACGAAAACCAUCGUAGCUCCCAUUCAGUUCCGUAUAGCAUAUACGGCUAUGGCGACUAUCAGAAAGCUGUUGAUCUAUGGAUACAAUUCGGACCAACAAACUGGUGAGACGAAUGAGCCCCUUGCGGCGGAAGCAUUCAGACAGAACUUCGCAACCAUCAGAACGCACCUAGCGGAGAAGACGUAUGCUGUUAUGUCAAGACACACAUACUUUUAGUUUGAGGUACGGACUGUGGGACUGAUGAGGGACUGCAAUUCCGAAACGAUGUUGGGGAAUGAUGAUCCAUCGUGUGCUUUUGAUGGCUACAAUAUAAGCAUGAGCACAAAUAUCGAAUCCGAUUGUUCAAUACGACCAAUCACGACCCCUCAAUCCAAUGUAGUCGUUCUGUUACAAGAAAACAAGCCCCAAAUUCCUACUGAAGACACAUUUCCACUGCCUCACCAAGAGCAAAUCACAUAGAUGGUUGCCGAAAAAUUUCAAAUGUAAGUUUAUAUGAACCCCCUUCUUCGAACUCUGGGGCAUUCCAGAGCGUCACAAUUAAAUGGGCAAGUAAACUACACCUGCGCAGGGUCGAAAAUUUCGGUAGGCGAUACCUGGUCGGAGACGUAAUCGUUUUCUUCUUAAAUAUCCACGACAAGAUCAGCACGAGAGGAAUAAAUACGAACUAAGAGUACUGGGUACUGGUGUCAUCAACUUCCUGCUAAUCAGCGCCCCAUUCUCUAGAGACAGCGAUGCAGUAGAAGGAGUUAUUGCGACGAGAAUUAUUG